UACGUAGGGUGCAAGCGUUAAUCGGAAUACUGGGCGUAAAGCGUGCGCAGGCGGUGAUGUAAGACAGGUGUGAAAUCCCCGGGCUUAACCUGGGAACUGCAUUUGUGACUGCAUCGCUGGAGUGCGGCAGAGGGGGAUGGAAUUCCGCGUGUAGCAGUGAAAUGCGUAGAUAUGCGGAGGAACACCGAUGGCGAAGGCAAUCCCCUGGGCCUGCACUGACGCUCAUGCACGAAAGCGU
rnacentral:rRNA from 1 species